ACGGUCCUAAGGUAGCGAAAUUCCUUGUCGGGUAAGUUCCGACCCGCACGAAUGGCGUAACGAUGGCCACACUGUCUCCUCCCGAGACUCAGCGAAGUUGAAGUGGUUGUGAAGAUGCAAUCUACCCGCUGCUAGACGGAAAGACCCCGUGAACCUUUACUGUAGCUUUGCAUUGGACUUUGAAGUCACUUGUGUAGGAUAGGUGGGAGGCUUUGAAGCAGAGACGCCAGUCUCUGUGGAGCCGUCCUUGAAAUACCACCCUGGUGUCUUUGAGGUUCUAACCCAGACCCGUAAUCCGGGUCGGGGACCGUGCAUGGUAGGCAGUUUGACUGGGGCGGUCUCCUCCCAAAGAGUAACGGAGGAGUUCGAAGGUUACCUAGGUCCGGUCGGAAAUCGGACUGAUAGUGCAAUGGCAAAAGGUAGCUUAACUGCGAGACCGACAAGUCGAGCAGGUGCGAAAGCAGGACAUAGUGAUCCGGUGGUUCUGUAUGGAAGGGCCAUCGCUCAACGGAUAAAAGGUACUCCGGGGAUAACAGGCUGAUUCCGCCCAAGAGUUCAUAUCGACGGCGGAGUUUGGCACCUCGAUGUCGGCUCAUCACAUCCUGGGGCUGUAGUCGGUCCCAAGGGUAUGGCUGUUCGCCAUUUAAAGUGGUACGUGAGCUGGGUUUAAAACGUCGUGAGACAGUUUGGUCCCUAUCUGCAGUGGGCGUUGGAAGUUUGACGGGGGCUGCUCCUAGUACGAGAGGACCGGAGUGGACGAACCUCUGGUGUACCGGUUGUAACGCCAGUUGCAUAGCCGGGUAGCUAAGUUCGGAAGAGAUAAGCGCUGAAAGCAUCUAAGCGCGAAACUCGCCUGAAGAUGAGACUUCCCUUGCGGUUUAACCGCACUAAAGAGUCGUUCGAGACCAGGACGUUGAUAGGUGGGGUGUGGAAGCGCGGUAACGUGUGAAGCUAACCCAUACUAAUUGCUCGUGAGGCUUGACUCU
rnacentral:rRNA from 1 species